UACGUAGGUGGCGAGCGUUGUCCGGAUUUACUGGGCGUAAAGAGCGCGCAGGCGGUCGAUUUAGUCGUGUGUGAAAGCCCCCGGCUCAACUGGGGAGGGUCACGCGAUACUGAUCGACUCGAAGGCAGGAGAGGGUAGUGGAAUUCCCGGUGUAGUGGUGAAAUGCGUAGAUAUCGGGAGGAACACCAGUGGCGAAGGCGACUACCUGGCCUGUUCUUGACGCUGAGGCGCGAAAGCUAGGGUAGCAAACGGGG
rnacentral:rRNA from 1 species